rnacentral:rRNA from 1 species
UACGGGGGGGGCAAGCGUUGUUCGGAAUUACUGGGCGUAAAGGGUGCGUAGGCGGCCUUCUAAGUUGGAUGUGAAAACUAUGGGCUCAACCCAUAGCCUGCAUCCAAAACUGGAGAGCUUGGGUUCUGGAGGGGAAAGCGGAAUUCCUGGUGUAGCGGUGAAAUGCGUAGAUAUCAGGAGGAACACCGGUGGCGAAGGCGGCUUUCUGGACAGACACCGACGCUGAGGCACGAAAGCUAGGGGAGCAAACAGG